CGGGUGUCGUAAUCCUGGGUUCUGGCAUCGGAGCCGUUGCUAUGGGGAUCUCACCCGCCGAUUCAGCAUUUUGUCCGUGGGUUCGGUGGGGGAUGAAUGAGUUCAGUGUGUGCGGAUCUCAAAGAACCUCCCUCCCAGCACCACUGAGGUGCUGAGGAUGCCCCUGAAACGGCCUCAGACUCGACUUGGACUAUGGGUUCCAUCCGUAGAGUUGGCCUCACUGACAGCAUUACAGGAAGGCUUCGAGGCAGCUCCCUGUGACCAUGUGGCGAUCGGACCAUCCCUGGCAUCCCACUUUGUGGGUGAGGAGACUGCCUCCUAACUGUGGUGUCUUAAAACCGAAGAGCACCACAGAAUGCCAGACACCAGACACUCACCACACGCGGUGGGUGCUAUUUCUGCACCAGGCUCCCGAGAGUGCGUUCCUGGGUGCUGACGCUCCUACAGCUGCCUCCUCUGCAACAGCCUCUCUUCCCUGUACAGAUUCCUCACCACAUCCAGCCAAAUCGCCUUCAUCCCAGCAGAGGCUGCAGAAGGCAGACGGCCAGGAGACUGGGGCCGUCAAUGCACUGGGUACAGCAGUAAUCCUCUAG
rnacentral:lncRNA from 10 species